rnacentral:lncRNA from 1 species
AUAUGAUGGUCGUCUUGGUGUCAUCAAAACCUCAAUCAUCGACAAAUCCUCUGAAGUUGAGAAAAGGGUACAAAGGGCAAAAGAGACAUCUAGACACCCCUAUUCAGAUUUGGAACUGGACAAACGAUCACACUCUGAUCUCACUGUGAUCGUUGGCGAUGCAUCAUUCCCGUGUCACAAGAUCAUUGUCAAGUUUAUGUCACCAUAUAUGGAGAAGCAUUUGUCAGCUGGGGAUGGUGAAAUGACGUUGGAGAAUGUAGAUGACAAUGCCUUCAGAGAUAUCCUCAACUUUAUGUACACUAGUGUUCUACCGCCGCUGUGUGAAGACAACAUCGCUGCCGCCCUACAAGCAGCAACCGUGCUGCAAAUGGACAAUCUUCAGACAGAUAUUGAAAAGAAAAUCAAGGUCAUCAACAGGGACAAGUCGCCGAAUAUCAAAACUUUCAAGGACUAUCUGUAGUUAGGUGUGCCACGAGAGGCCGUGCUUAUGAACCUCCCCAGAACAACUAGUUAUGAAGCCUAUUUACACUUAAGGUUACUCUCAGAGUGACCAAAUGCUGUAUCCCCCUGGUCUAACGUUUGAAAGUAGUUCUGAACAAAAGAACUCAUAUAAUAAAGAGAUAUAAUUCAAAUCUGUUUCUUGUAGGGGAGGACCAUUUGAUAUUUAGCUGGGGUCGGGUUUUUUUUGGUAGAAUCAUGUUUUUUUCGUCAUUGAGAUAUUUCUUUUCUUCUUAAAAUUGAGCUGAGAUUUGUUUUUUACAACACAUUUCAAAUUCAACCUGGGGAAAGAAUAUUAAACUUUUUCUCACUCUUCACUAAAACAUAAUAACUGUAUAGAUGAAGGUGAUUUUAAAACAGAACAAUGGAAUAGCAGUAUAAUAAAGCAUUUUCAUGUAAUAAAAGACCAUUUUUACAACAACUUGACAGAAAAUUGGUCAACUUAACAUGUAUGUACUCACAACAACUGGAGGAAUGUACUUUUCAAUCGUGGAUGAUUGAAAUAAAUAGCAUUUCGAUGUAAACUGACAAACGAAAGAUACGAUACCAGAAUCAAUUAGCCUGCAACAAUACCCAGAUCAGUGGAACUUGAGUUUGAAGUGAAACAUUUGAUGACUUGCAGAAUGCCAACCUACAAAGUUAUGGGUAAAAAAGAAAUGAUGUACUGUUCGUUUACAUCCAAACCGUUGGACAGAGACAAAUAACAUGCUAAGAUCAAUUGUACAAUUAAAAGAGCAAGCCAUUGGUAUGAUACAUCAAAAAGCAAAGCAUGACAACGUUUCAAGGGCGUCCAUGUUGUGCCCUCGGUUGGUACUUCACGGUCCAGGGUGAACGACGGAAGACAAAACUCAGGGGUGAAGUUUAAGGAGACAGUAGCCAUGUUUAUUGUUGAUUGGGAAUAACGUCCGAAAAGGUACAUAUUGAUAGUAAUCACAUGACUGAACACACACCGGGACCAAGUGGCCGGUGUUCCCGGUUCACAGACCCGCUAUGCCCCUUACACAGGUAGGAAGUCAGACAGCGAUUCUUCAUGGUCGAUGGAGUCAUUGCUGAGGCGGUGGCCUUGCCUGACACCACGACUAACUGUACAAUCCGUCCGCUUCUGUCGGUCUCAAAAAUGCACAUUUCAGGAAACCAUUUCGGAGGCACUAAAAGAAAAGGAUUGGCGUUACAUUCUAAUAUGUGUAGAUGACAUCAUAACAUUUUGUGUAAAGAAAACAUUUCACCCUGGAUAUCCAGCCUAGGCUUAUUUUGGAAGCUUGACCACUGUUGCUGCCAGGUGAAUAUUAUUAUCACUGACUUUUACUGUAACCAUUGCUCUGAUAUUUUAAACUGCCAUUAUAUUAUGUACUGCCAUUGUAAAUUAUGAAUAGUAAUUGUUUUGAUUUGUAAACCUAGUUAAUAUUAUAAUACAAUUGUUAAUUGUA